UACAGAGGUCUCAAGCGUUGUUCGGAUUCAUUGGGCGUAAAGGGUGCGUAGGCGGCGCGGUAAGUCGGGUGUGAAAUCUCGGAGCUUAACUCCGAAACUGCAUUCGAUACUGCCGUGCUUGAGGACUGGAGAGGAGACUGGAAUUUACGGUGUAGCGGUGAAAUGCGUAGAUAUCGUAAGGAAGACCAGUGGCGAAGGCGGGUCUCUGGACAGAUACUGACGCUGAGGCGCGAAAGCGUGGGAAGCAAACAGG
rnacentral:rRNA from 1 species